rnacentral:rRNA from 1 species
GAUGAACGCUGGCGGCGUGCUUAAUACAUGCAAGUCGAGCGAACGGACGAGAAGCUUGUUUCGUUGAUGUUAGCGGCGGACGGGUGUGUAACACGUGUAUAACCUACCUAUAAGACUGGGAUAACUUCGGGAAACCGGCGCUAACACCGGAUAAUAUUUUGAACCGCAUGGUUCGAAAGAGAAAGACGGUCUUGCGGGCUCUUAUCGAGGGAUCCGCGCUGCAUUAGCUAGUUGUUAAGGUCACGGCUUACCAAGGCAACGAGGCGUAACAGGGCUAAGAGGGUGAGCGGGCAUGAGAGGGCUGAGAGACGGACUAGACUCGUACGGGAGGCAGCAGUACGGCGUCAGCCACCAUGGGCGAAAGCCUGACGGAGCACGGCCGCGUGAGUGAGGAAGGUCGUCGGAUGGUAAAACGCUGUUAGUUGGGAAGACCCUAUGUGUAAGGACCAGGGGAGAGCUAGGGGAUAGCGAAUCAGAAAGCCGCGGCUAUAUGCG